rnacentral:rRNA from 1 species
GAUGAACGCUGGCGGCGUGCCUAAUACAUGCAAGUCGAGCGAACAGACGAGGAGCUUGCUCCUUUGACGUUAGCGGCGGACGGGUGAGUAACACGUAGGUAACCUACCUAUAAGACUGGGAUAACUUCGGGAAACCGGAGCUAAUACCGGAUAAUAUUUCGAACCGCAUGGUUCGAUCGUGAAAGAUGGCUUUGCUAUCACUUAUAGAUGGACCUGCGCCGUAUUAGCUAGUUGGUAAGGUACCGGCUUACCAAGGCAACGAUACGUAGCCGACCUGAGAGGGUGAUCGGCCACACUGGAACUGAGACACGGUCCAGACUCCUACGGGAGGCAGCAGUAGGGAAUCUUCCGCAAUGGGCGAAAGCCUGACGGAGCAACGCCGCGUGAGUGAUGAAGGUCUUCGGAUCGUAAAACUCUGUUAUUAGGGAAGAACAAACGUGUAAGUAACUGUGCACGUCUUGACGGUACCUAAUCAGAAAGCCACGGCUAACUACGUG